rnacentral:rRNA from 1 species
CCUACGGGAGGCAGCAGUCGAGAAUCAUUCACAAUGGGGGAAACCCUGAUGGUGCGACGCCGCGUGGGGGAAUGAAGGUCUUCGGAUUGUAAACCCCUGUCAUGUGGGAGCAAAUUAAAAAGAUAGUACCACAAGAGGAAGAGACGGCUAACUCUGUGCCAGCAGCCGCGGUAAUACAGAGGUCUCAAGCGUUGUUCGGAAUCAUUGGGCGUAAGGCGUGCGUAGGCUGUUUCGUAAGUCGUGUGUGAAAGGCGCGGGCUCAACCCGCGGACGGCACAUGAUACUGCGAGACUAGAGUAAUGGAGGGGGAACCGGAAUUCUCGGUGUAGCAGUGAAAUGCGUAGAUAUCGAGAGGAACACUCGUGGCGAAGGCGGGUUCCUGGACAUUAACUGACGCUGAGGCACGAAGGCCAGGGGAGCGAAAGGGAUUAGAUACCCGGGUAGUC